rnacentral:rRNA from 1 species
GACGAACGCUGGCGGCGUGCCUAAUACAUGCAAGUAGAACGCUGAAGGAGGAGCUUGCUUCUCUGGAUGAGUUGCGAACGGGUGAGUAACGCGUAGGUAACCUGCCUGGUAGCGGGGGAUAACUAUUGGAAACGAUAGCUAAUACCGCAUAAUAGUAGAUGUUGCAUGACAUUUGCUUAAAAGGUGCAAUUGCAUCACUACCAGAUGGACCUGCGUUGUAUUAGCUAGUUGGUGGGGUAACGGCUCACCAAGGCGACGAUACAUAGCCGACCUGAGAGGGUGAUCGGCCACACUGGGACUGAGACACGGCCCAGACUCCUACGGGAGGCAGCAGUAGGGAAUCUUCGGCAAUAGACGGAAGUCUGACCGAGCAACGCCGCGUGAGUGAAGAAGGUUUUCGGAUCGUAAAGCUCGGUUGUAAGAGAAGAACGAGUGUGAGAGUGGAAAGUUCACACUGUGACGGUAUCUUACCAGAAAGGGACGGCUAACUACGUG